rnacentral:rRNA from 1 species
GAGACCUCAGGUCAGGCGGGAUCAC